AUAUGAUCAGUGUUCUCUCCACAGUGACUGAAAAAUCUGACUCUAACCAUGGAAUGGAGCUGGAUCUUUCUCUUCCUGCUCUCAGUUAAUGCAGGUGUCCACUCCCAGAUCCAUCUGCAGCAAUCUGGGGCUGAGCUGGCAAGACCUGGGUCAUCAGUGAAGAUAUCCUGCAAGGUUUCUGGCUACACCUUUACCAGCUACAAUAUGUACUGGGUGAAGCAGAGGCCUGGACAGGGUCUGGAAUGGAUUGGAUUGAUUAAUCCUUACAAUGGUUAUACUGAGUACAAUCAGAAGUUCAAAGGCAAGGCCAUAUUGACUGUAGAAAAAUCCUCCAACACAGCCUACAUAGAGCUCAGCAGCCUAACCUCUGAGGACUCUGCGGUCUAUUACUGUGCAAGAGCUGGGGCUAAUUACUAUGCUAUGGAUUUCUGGGGUCCAGGGACUUCAGUCACCGUCUCCUCAGCCAAAACAACACCACCAUCUGUCUAUCCACUGGCCCCUGGGUGUGGACAUACAACUGACUCCUCGGUGACUCUGGGAUGCCUGGUCAAGGGCUAUUUCCCUGAGCCAGUGACCGUGACCUGGAACUCUGGAGCCCUGUCCAGCAAUGUGCACACCUUCCCAGCUGUCCUGCAAUCUGGACUUUACUCCCUCAGCAGCUCAGUGACUGUAUCCUCCAGCACCUGGCCCAGCCAGACCGUCACCUGCAACGUAGACCACCCAGCCAGCAAGACCAAGGUGGACAAGAAAAUUGAUCCCAGAAAACUCACUCAGACUGGUACCUGCCUUCCAUGCCAGGAGUGUCGCAAAUGCCCACCUCCUGAACUCUUGGGUGGACCAUCCAUCUUCAUCUUCCCCCCAAAGCCCAAGGAUGUACUCAUGAUCUCCCUGAACCCCAAGGUCACAUGUGUGGUGGUGGAUGUGAGCGAGGAAGAGCCAGAUGUCCAGGUCAGCUGGUUCGUAAACAAUGUAGAAGUACACACGGCUCAGACGCAGACCCAUGAGGAGCGGUACAACAGUACCUUCCGGGUGGUCAGUGCCCUCCCCAUCCAGCACCAGGACUGGAUGAGUGGCAAGGAGUUCAAAUGCAAGGUCAAAAACAAAGCCCUCCCAGGCCCCGUCGAGAGAAUCAUCUCAAAACCCAAAGGGCUAGUCAGAGAGCCACAGGUAUAUGUCUUGCCUCCACCAGCAGAACAGAUGACCAAGAAAAUGGUCAGUCUGACCUGCAUGGUCACAGGUUUCAUCCCUAAAGAGAUCGAUGUGGAGUGGACAAGCGACGGGCUUAUAGAGCAGAACUACAAGAACACUGAACCACUCCUGGACUCCGAUGGUUCUUACUUCUUAUACAGCAAGCUCGAAGUGGAAAAGAGGAUCUGGGAGCAAAAACGCACCUUCACCUGCUCAGUGGUACACGAGGGUCUGCGCAAUCACCACACGACAAAGAGCAUCUCCCGGUCUCUGGGGCUGGAACUGGAUGAGACCUGUGCUGAGGCCCAGGAUGGGGAGCUGGAUGGGCUCUGGACGACCAUCACCAUCUUCAUCAGCCUCUUCCUGCUCAGUGUGUGCUACAGCGCCUCUGUCACACUCUUCAAGGUGAAGUGGCUCUACUCCUCAGUGGUGGAGCUGAAGCAGACACUCUCCCCUGACUACAGAAACAUGAUUGGGCAGGGAGCCUAGGCCACUUCCUCUGGGACUAGCAAGCUUCCUAGGCCCUGCAGAACCGCAUCCCAUCCUACUGUGCAGCCUAACAUGGAGACCACACUGCCAUCUGACAUCACCACCUUCUAGCCCUAUAACUCUCGGAUUCAGAACUCUCCAUGCUCUCCUUUUUGGAGGACCAUGUGCAAAGCAGGCUUUACCCCAGAUCCAAAAAACACUUCCUCAGCAGUUGCCAGAUAACUAACUGAUUGGGGCCAGAAGAACCAUCUCCUUCCAAACCAGCACCAGGGGAUCUGAGAUCUCAGAAUGUUUGCCUAAGAGGAGCUGGGGGUCCACUUUGCCUGAGGCCAACUGCAUGGGAAUGAGCCCUGGAGUUGGCCUGACCCACACAUUUUUGUCUCAAAUGGGUCUUCCCAGAAAGGGUAACAUUUUCAGAUCCUUGGAAGGAGACAUCUGCUAGGAAGACCAGGGUCACCACAGCCCAAAGGGUCACUCUGACCACCUUCGCACCAGCUAUACUUGGCCAGCUUCCUUCCCGGUACUUCUGUGAACCCUGGGCUGAGGAAAGGGUCUGUAAUCUUCAAACUGUUGAGACGAGCUUCCUGAAGAUGAGGCUCCUUGUGCAGUCAUCUAUUCCUACUACCCACCCAACAUGCUGGAUUCUCAGAUGCAGGAUCCAAUCCACAGACACCAUUGACCACACAACCUCGAGACAAGGCCACUGCCACCUCCACAGAGACUCCAUCCCCACUCUGCAGAGGCAGAAGGACUGCUUUGUGGAGCCUCUGCAAAGCCCUAGCAGGGACAAGUGCAUAGACCACUGAGUACUGGCUAGGUGACCAGGCAAGAAAACCUCCAGGAGAGGGCCCUGAUGAGAAGAUUCCUGUUGGGCUCAAAAAAAUUGGGGCAGGAAAGCAGGAUCAAUUGGCAGAGGUGUGAACAUAUCAUUAGAGGAAAGCCCUGAAUUCACAGGUCUGCCCUGCAGGCCUGACGUCCAGACUACACAUACUACAACAGAAAACAUCAGUUGCAGUGGACGUCUAAGAGGACCAACUUGGAAUACUAGGGCUGCUGUGGCCAGUGGAGAGUAGCCCUGUAUCUAUUUCUCCAUCUAUUUCUUAUUGGUCUCCUCUCGUGA